CCUACGGGAGGCAGCAGUGGGGAAUUUUGGACAAUGGGGGAAACCCUGAUCCAGCCAUUCCGCGUGAGUGAAGAAGGCCUUCGGGUUGUAAAGCUCUUUCGGCAGGAACGAAACGGCGGACUCUAACAUAGUCUGUCAAUGACGGUACCUGAAGAAGAAGCACCGGCUAACUACGUGCCAGCAGCCGCGGUAAUACGUAGGGUGCGAGCGUUAAUCGGAAUUACUGGGCGUAAAGCGUGCGCAGGCGGCUUUGUAAGACGGAUGUGAAAUCCCUGGGCUUAACCUAGGAACUGCGUUCGUGACUGCAAAGCUAGAGUGCGGCAGAGGGGGGUGGAAUUCCUGGUGUAGCAGUGAAAUGCGUAGAGAUCAGGAGGAACACCGAUGGCGAAGGCAGCUUCUUGGGCCGUUCCUGACGCUGAGGCGCGAAAGCCAGGGGAGCGAACGGGAUUAGAUCCCCCUGUAGU
rnacentral:rRNA from 1 species